UCACAGCACCCUACCUUUUUGGUAGCAGCUAGGAAUAGAUUCCCGUACUCCAGACUUCUUCUCCUUAGCAUAGGGUUCUUCGUCCCAUUUGCUUCUUAGGAAGUUAGAACAGGUUUGUUUGUGUGGAGAACAAUAAUUCUGUGAAUAAUUAUUAACAGCAGGAAUUUUGCUGGAAGUAUGGCUUAGUAAACUUUCCCUACAGAAUUAAAAUUCAAAAGGGCAUCAUUUCUGAGAAAAGUUUAGAGUAUGAAUUGACUUGGUUAUAAUUCAGUGUUGACUUGCUCAUCUAUAGCUCAGGAAGCAGGCAAACAGCUAACUUUUUACUUUACAAUCCCUGUGGUUUUCUGAAUGCCAUAUAUUUCAUUUAUUCGAAAAAAGAAGGCUUUGAGCAAAUGCUUCCCUUCCUUUUCUUAGUUAUUUAGAAAUCCAAGAGGACCUUUCUUAAGCCAUUCCUGUCAUCUCACCUGCCUUCAGGGAGGAAGGGGCCCAGGCGCUGAGGAUGUAGGUCAUGUGCCCUUUGUGUUUGAGUAUCUCUAGCCGAAAGGUUACAGAUGAGAUAUUGAGGAGAACUAUUACCAACUUCUUAUUAGGAAUACCUAAAUUAUAUCAUGAGUCUAAAUAAUGUUUUAACUGUUGCAGCAAUCAAUACGCUGUAGCCAUUGGGAUACACUGUAGAACUCAGCAUCUGGCCCUCUGUGAUCCACAAACCUGGCUGACUUGGUGCACCCCAAGCAGAAGAAAAAUCACCCAAUGCAUACAGACAUUUUUGCAAGUCACCAGUUGAAACAAAGCCUCAGUCACUAAAAGCACAAACUGCAUUGACGAGGUCUCCACUGACCAAGCAGCGUAAAGGAUGACAGUGGUUAUUUGAGUAAAUUUGGCAAAACUCCAGUAUCUGAAUAACUCCCGUGACACUACAACGUCACCUAACCACUAGCUAAAGCUUUGCCAACAGAGGCCUACGUCAAAGUUACUGUUUUUGUAGCUAUUUUAACCUUUUAAAUUAUCUGACCUGAAAAAA
rnacentral:lncRNA from 1 species